rnacentral:rRNA from 1 species
CGUAAGCAACCUGCCUCAAAGACCGGGACAACAUUCCGAAAGGGGGUGCUAAUACCGGAUGUGGCCGUGCGGGGACAUCCCUGUGCGAUUAAAUCCAACUAGCAAUAGUUGGGCUUUGAGAGGGGCUUGCGGCCUAUCAGCUAGUUGGUGGGGUAACGGCCUACCAAGGCGACGAUCGGUAGCUGGUCUGAGAGGACGAUCAGCCACACUGGGAUUGAGAACGGCCCAG